rnacentral:miRNA from 1 species
AUGAGGUGACCUGUGAUCCUCAGAUGAACGGCGAUAGAAAAAUUCAAGAAAUAAUAAAAUAAUAAUAAUUUCAAACUGAAAUUAUUAGUAUUUUAUUAUUUCUUGAUUUUUUCUAUUGCCCUUCAUCUGAGGAUCACAGGUUUACAAUAU